GACGAACGCUGGCGGCGGGCCUAAUACAUGCAAGUAGAACGCAGAUGCGAACGGGUGAGUAAAGCGUAGGUAAAUGCCUCAGAGCGGGGGGUAACUAUUGGAAACGAGAGCUAAAACCGCAUACUGUGAACUGGACCUGCGUUGUAUUAGCUAGUGGGAGAGGUACAGGCUCACCAAGGCGACGAUACAUAGCCGACACGAGAGGGUGAUCGGGCACACGUGUACUUGGGCACGGCCCAGACUCCUUCUGGAGGCAGCAGUAGGGAAUUGUCGGCAAUGGACGGAAGUCUGACCGAGCAACGCGGCGGGAGUGAAGAAGGUUUUCGGAUUGUCAAGCUCUGUUGUUAGAGAAGCGGUAACUAACCAGAAAGGGACGGCUAACUACGUGCCAGCAGCCGCGGUAAUUC
rnacentral:rRNA from 1 species